rnacentral:rRNA from 1 species
UCCUAGCCUGGCUUAGAACCUGACCGAGGACUUACUUGGCAGAUGACCAAAAGAAGAGGUGACCGAGAGGUCCACAAGGAGACAGAGGAAAGACCAGGCUGGUGUGCUGACCCUCAUCUUCCACCUUGUGUUGCGUCUGUUGAAAUAAUGGCUCCAGUCUUCGCAAGGGUGGCAUGGCGAUGCGUAUGGCAUAUGAUUCAGAAUGAUUUAGUUCAUGGAUGGGGUCUCAACUUUGCCCUCAGGAACUGCGUAGAGGUAUAUUUAUCUCUCUAUAACCAACCCAACCGCAGGGGUCAUCUAGAAGAACAAGAAGAAGUACAGAGGGAGGGGAGGCGGAUGGAGGGCGUGCGUGCGUACCUUUGA